AACGCACAUUGCGCCCCCUGGUAUUCCGGGGGGCAUGCCUGUCCGAGCGUCAUUGCUGCCCUCAAGCACGGCUUGUGUGUUGGGCCCCGUCCCCUCCCCCGGGGACGGGCCCGAAAGGCAGCGGCGGCACCGCGUCCGGUCCUCGAGCGUAUGGGGCUUUGUCACCCGCUCUGUAGGCCCGGCCGGCGCCAGCCGACACCCAACUUUAUUUUCUAAGGUUGACCUCGGAUCAGGUAGGGAUACCCGCUGAACUUAA
rnacentral:misc_RNA from 1 species